rnacentral:ncRNA from 1 species
GAAAGCCGCGUGCAAUGAAAAAUGCAAGCACGGUUUGGGGAGGGAUUUUUUAUUCUUUUAAAUUUAAAUUUAUUUAAUUGAAACAAGGAAAUUAUCUACUCCAU